UUGAAAAUGAUCUUAAAUUUUGAACCGGAAGGACAAAAGCGUCAGACACAUCCCACCAAGAACAAAAAAGAAUUUUUACUCUCUGAGACACUUUAUGUCUUUAGAUUUACAGUCUAAGACACUUACUACAUGUGACAACCUUUCUUUUUAGUCAAUGUCUUUUAUGUCCUUAUUCCUUUGGAAAGUAAAAAAAAAAAUAAAACCAAUCAGAGCUUAUCGGUUUACAUAAUGUACCAACCCCUCUCUAAUUCGAACUCACAACCCUAUUUUCUUAUUCUAAAAUCGCAGCCUCUCUAAAAACAUCCCUUUUGCGACGAUUUUUUAGAAUCCUAGAUUUGAUUCUUCACUCUCUCCUUCCAUUCUUACCUUCGUAACACCGCCAAGCUCUUGCUUCUCAAUCAAUCCGUCUCUGUCAGUCUUCUCAGUCUUCCAUUGUCGCCUCCGUAACCCCGCCGCUCUCACGAAUCAACACCACCGUUCUCGGUCCCUCCGGUUCAAAUCAUGCGCAAAGUAACAACCAACCGGACCACCGCUUCCCAUCGAGACUAUUCGCCACCGACUGGUUUUGCUAGUGGACGGCUCAACAACCAACCGACCACACUUUUACCGUCCACAACUCUCCAAUACACAGCUCCCCUAUCCACAACACACUCAUCCACAAGGAAACCCCCUUCCAUCUAACUCCAACUACUCCCACAUCUCUUCGGCCACAGGUUCCAUAUACCUGCUUACUACGGUCGAGCUUAUGCUUUUCGCUUUCCACCUUCAAGUUGGCUUUUGUGUUUUUGUGGUUGAUACCCACAACCAAUAUAAUAUGUUAAACCUAUCUCUGUAUACUUUCUUUAGGAUUUGUAAUAUGUUAACGAUCAGCACUAGCCAUAUUCUAUAUUUUUUUCCUGAACA